rnacentral:rRNA from 1 species
AGCAGCCGCGGUAAUUCCAGCUCCAAUAGCGUAUAUUAAAGUUGUUGCAGUUAAAAAGCUCGUAGUUGAAUUUCGGGGUCAGUAGGCUGGUCAUGCCACAGGUAUGUACUGGUCUCACUGAUUCCUCCUUCCUGAUGAACCGUAAUGCCAUUAAUUUGGUGUUGCGGGGAAACUGGACUGUUACUUUGAAAAAAUUAGAGUGUUUAAAGCAGGCUAACGCUUGAAUACAUUAGCAUGGAAUAAUGAAAUAGGACGUUCGAUCCUAUUUUGUUGGUUUCUAGGAUUGACGUAAUGAUUAAUAGGGAUAGUUGGGGGCAUUAGUAUUCAAUUGUCAGAGGUGAAAUUCUUGGAUUUAUUGAAGACUAACUACUGCGAAAGCAUUUGCCAAGGAUGUUUUCAUUAAUCAAGAACGAAAGUUAGGGGAUCGAAGACGAUCAGAUACCGUCGUAGUCUUAACCAUAAACUAUGCCGACUAGGGAUCGGAUGAUGUUAUUUUAAUGA